rnacentral:rRNA from 1 species
AGAGUUGAUUCUGGCUCAGGACGAACGCUGGCGGCGUGCUUAAAACAUGCAAGUCGAGCGAAGGUUAUACGAAAGAUUCUUCGGAUGAUUUUGUAUAAACUUAGCGGCGGACGGGUGAGUAACGCGUGAGGAACCUGCCUUCUACAAGGGGAUAGCCUCGGGAAACCGGGAUUAAUACCCUAUAAAACUUAUCAAGCCCAUGAAUGAAAAGCCAAAGCGUUUAGCGGUACAAGAUGGUCUCGCGUCCCAUUAGCUAGUUGGUGAGAUAACAGCUCACCAAGGCAACGAUGGGUAGCCGGCCUGAGAGGGUGAACGGCCACACUGGAACUGAGACACGGUCCAGACUCCUACGGGAGGCAGCAGUGGGGAAUAUUGCACAAUGGAGGAAACUCUGAUGCAGCGACGCCGCGUGAGCGAUGAAGGUCUUCGGAUCGUAAAGCUCUGUCCUAAGGGACGAUAAUGACGGUACCUUAGGAGGAAGCCCCGGCUAACUACGUGCCAGCAGCCGCGGUAAUACGUAGGGGGCAAGCGUUGUCCGGAAUUACUGGGCGUAAAGGGUACGCAGGCGGCCUUGUAAGUCAGAUGUGAAAGACCAUGGCUUAACUGUGGUAAGCAUUUGAAACUACAGAGCUUGAGUACAGGAUAGGAGAGUGGAAUUCCUAGUGUAGCGGUGAAAUGCGUAGAUAUUAGGAGGAAUACCAGUGGCGAAGGCGACUCUCUGGACUGUAACUGACGCUGAGGCACGAAAGCAUGGGGAGCAAACAGGAUUAGAUACCCUGGUAGUCCACGCUAUAAACGAUGAGUGCUAGGUGUCGGGAGGCACACCUCGUCGGUGCCGAAGUUAACACAUUAAGCACUCCGCCUGGGGAGUACGGUCGCAA